GGACAAAUGAUUGGGGUGAAGUCGUAACAAGGUAGCCGUAUCGGAAGGUGCGGCUGGAUCACCUCCUUUCUAA
rnacentral:rRNA from 1 species